rnacentral:rRNA from 1 species
AUGUCUAAACGACUCUCGGCAACGGAUAUCUCGGCUCUCGCAUCGAUGAAGAACGUAGCGAAAUGCGAUACUUGGUGUGAAUUGCAGAAUCCCGUGAACCAUCGAGUCUUUGAACGCAAGUUGCGCCCGAAGCCAUUAGGCCGAGGGCACGCCUGCCUGGGCGUCACACGUCGUUGCCC